rnacentral:rRNA from 1 species
CCUACGGGAGGCAGCAGUGGGGAAUUUUGGACAAUGGGCGAAAGCCUGAUCCAGCAAUGCCGCGUGAGUGAAGAAGGCCUUCGGGUUGUAAAGCUCUUUUGUCAGGGAAGAAACGGUGAGAGCUAAUAUCUCUUGCUAAUGACGGUACCUGAAGAAUAAGCACCGGCUAACUACGUGCCAGCAGCCGCGGUAAUACGUAGGGUGCAAGCGUUAAUCGGAAUUACUGGGCGUAAAGCGUGCGCAGGCGGUUUUGUAAGUCUGAUGUGAAAUCCCCGGGCUCAACCUGGGAAUUGCAUUGGAGACUGCAAGGCUAGAAUCUGGCAGAGGGGGGUAGAAUUCCACGUGUAGCAGUGAAAUGCGUAGAUAUGUGGAGGAACACCGAUGGCGAAGGCAGCCCCCUGGGUCAAGAUUGACGCUCAUGCACGAAAGCGUGGGGAGCAAACAGGAUUAGAUACCCUGGUAGUCCACGCCCUAAACGAUGUCUACUAGUUGUCGGGUCUUAAUUGACUUGGUAACGCAGCUAACGCGUGAAGUAGACCGCCUGGGGAGUACGGCCGCAAGNUUAAAACUCAAAUGAAUUGACGG